rnacentral:rRNA from 1 species
CUACGGGUGGCUGCAGUAGGGAAUAUUGCACAAUGGACGAAAGUCUGAUGCAGCAACGCUGCGUGUGCGAUGAAGGCCUUCGGGUUGUAAAGCACUUUUCUGAGGGAAGAGGAAGGACGGUACCUCAGGAAUAAGUCUCGGCUAACUACGUGCCAGCAGCCGCGGUAACACGUAGGAGGCAAGCGUUAUCCGGAUUUACUGGGCGUAAAGCGCGUGCAGGCGGUUCGGUAAGUUGGAUGUGAAAGCUCCUGGCUCAACUGGGAGAUGCCGUUCAAUACUGCCGGACUCGAGGACGGUAGAGGGAGGUGGAAUUCCCGGUGUAGUUGUGAAAUGCGUAGAUAUCGGGAGGAACACCAGUGGCGAAAGCGGCCUCCUAGGCCGUUCCUGACGCUAAGACGCGAAAGCAUGGGUAGCGAACGGGAUUAGAUACCCCCGUAGUC